rnacentral:rRNA from 1 species
AUUACUCCUACGGGAGGCAGCAGUAAGGAAUAUUGGUCAAUGGAGGCAACUCUGAACCAGCCAUGCCGCGUGAAGGAUGAAUGCGCUAUGCGUUGCAAACUUCUUUUGGGUGGGAAGAAAACUAUUAAUUUAUUGAUAGCUGACGGUACCAUCAGAAUAAGCACCGGCUAACUCCGUGCCAGCAGCCGCGGUAAUAAU